GAAUAUUGCGCAAUGGCCGAAAGGCUGACGCAGCGACGUCGCGUGUGGGCGGAAGCCCUUCGGGGUGUAAACCACUGUCAGGAGGGAAGAAACUCGGGCACUCGAAUAAAGUGUUCGAUUGACGGUACCUCCAAAGGAAUCGCCGGCUAACUCCGUGCCAGCAGCCGCGGUAAGACGGAGGGCGCAAGCGUUGUUCGGAAUUACUGGGCGUAAAGCGCACGCAGGUGGUCCCUUAAGUCCACUGUUAAAUCACGGGGCUCAACCCCGGAGGUGCAGCGGAUACUGAGGGACUGGAGACUGGUAGAGGCUAGCGGAAUUCCUGGUGUAGCGGUGGAAUGCGUAGAUAUCAGGAGGAACACCGGUGGCGAAGGCGGCUAGCUGGGCCAGUUCUGACGCUCAUGUGCGAAAGCGUGGGGAGCAAAC
rnacentral:rRNA from 1 species